AACGAACGCUGGCGGCAUGCCUAACACAUGCAAGUCGAACGAGACCUUCGGGUCUAGUGGCGCACGGGUGCGUAACGCGUGGGAACCUGCCCUUAGGUUCGGAAUAACUCCCCGAAAGGGGUGCUAAUACCGGAUAAUGUCUUCGGACCAAAGAUUUAUCGCCUUUGGAUGGGCCCGCGUUGGAUUAGCUAGUUGGUAGGGUAAAAGCCUACCAAGGCGACGAUCCAUAGCUGGUCUGAGAGGAUGAUCAGCCACACUGGGACUGAGACACGGCCCAGACUCCUACGGGAGGAAGCAGUGGGGAAUAUUGGACAAUGGGCGAAGGCCUGAUCCAGCAAUGCCGCGUGAGUGAUGAAGGCCUUAGGGUUGUAAAGCUCUUUUACCCGGGAUGAUAAUGACAGUACCGGGAGAAUAAGCGCCGGCUAACUCCGUG
rnacentral:rRNA from 1 species